GACGAACGCUGGCGGCGUGCUUAACACAUGCAAGUCGAACGGAAAGGCCCUUCUUUGGUUGGAUGCUCGAGGAGCGAACGGGUGAGUAGCACGUAAGUAGCCUGCCCUUUACUUUUAGAGAACUUCAGGUAACUCUGGCUAAUACCGGAUGGUACUUCCUGCUGCAUGGUGUUGGGUGGAAAGGUUCGGCGUUGGUGGAUUGACUCGCGGCUUGUCUGCUUGUUGGUGGGGUGGUUCCUUACCAAGGCCUGGGCGGGCAGCCGGCCUGAGGGGGUGACCGGCAACAUUGGGAUGGGGAUCGGGCCAAGCCCCCUCCGGGAGGAAGCAGUGGGGAAUAUUGCACAAGGGGCGGAAGCCUGAUGAAGAACCGCCGCGUGCGGGAUGCCGGCCUUCGGUUUAUAAACGGCUUUAGCAUGUGCCGAAGUGUGAGUGACGGUAAUGGGUAAAGAAGCACCGGCUAACUACGUG
rnacentral:rRNA from 1 species